UACGGGGGGAGCAAGCGUUGUUCGGAUUUACUGGGCGUAAAGGGCGCGUAGGCGGCCAGCACAAGUCAGUUGUGAAAUCUCCGAGCUUAACUCGGAAAGGUCAACUGAUACUGUGCGGCUAGAGUGCAGAAGGGGCAACUGGAAUUCUUGGUGUAGCGGCGAAAUGCGUAGAUAUCAAGAGGAACACCUGCGGCGAAGGCGGGUUGCUGGGCUGACACUGACGCUGAGGCGCGAAAGCUAGGGGAGCGAACGGG
rnacentral:rRNA from 1 species